AUCAUCAGCUCUAGUCUUCUCUGUUUCGCUAGCUCAUAUACUCCUCCUCUUUCUUAGCCAGAUUGCUCUAGUCGCUCACAAGGGGGAGAUUGGACUAUGAAAAAAGGUUUCUGCUGCAGCUUGCAUUCCUGCUGCAAGGGCCUCCUCUUCAGACAGCCUUUGCCAGAGCAGAACUUUUCAAAAUGCUACAAAUAGGAUCUUCUUUUUUCUCCUUUAUUUAACCCUUCUCCUUUUAAAAAAAAAUGGGACUAAUUUUUCUUGUUUUCGGUGCUGUGCUUGGCUGUACAGUAUAUCGCAAUGUUGAGGUUAAAGCUACAAGUAUUUCUGCCACCACCCCCGCUGAUCCAUUUUUUUUCCGUCUUGGUUAAAGAAAUUGAUUUAUUUGACUGAGCAAUGAAUCAGGAUUUGCUAGUUUGUAUGCUGUGAGAAUGAUGGCUUUUAUUUGAAAUUUUUUUCUCAGUGCCAAUGCCUUGUGCUGCUCAUGGAACCAGCUUCUUUCUUUCUGUAUGUUUUUUAAUUGCUUCAGUCUCCUAUUGUUGUUGCUGGGAGCUGGCAGCCAGGGGUAGUUGUGGCAGGGAAAGCAUGUGGACGAAAAGCUGGAACCCGUUGCUAGGAGACUGCAGAACUGCAAGGUGA
rnacentral:lncRNA from 1 species